CUAACAAUAUUCCAGGUUAGCAUUCCUAACAAUAUUCCAGGUUAGCAUUCCUAACAAUAUCCCAGGUUAGCAUUCCUAACAAUAUCCCAGGUUAGCAUUCCUAACAAUAUCCCAGGUUAGCAUUCCUAACAAUAUCCCAGGUUAGCAUUAACAAUGUCCCAAGUUAGCUACUUAUAGGUUUAUGUUUGAGUAAAAUGAACAUUGUUGUUUUAUUCUUUAAACUACUGACAUUUCUUCUAAAUUCCAAAUAAAAAUAUUCUCAUUUAGAGCAUUUAUUUGGGGAAAAUGAAAAAUGGCUAAAAUAACAAAAAAGAUUGCAGAGCUUUCAGACUGUGCCAGGAUUAAUGAAAGCUGUGAUUAAAAAUCAGGGUAAUUCCAUCUGCAACCGCCUUACUCUUGCAAGAUUUUAACGUUGUAUAUCAUCGUAAAGUGCCACGUAAAUGCGAACACACCUAGUGUUGUCUCUGGUAGCAACAACAUAGCAACCAAUUGGGAUAUCAUAACAACCACCUAAGAACACCACAGCAAACUCCAAGGCAAAACAAUAGCGAUCACCUAAAAAUAUAACACAAUAAAACACAUUUGUUUUUACCAUAGCAGCUGCUUAGCAACACCUUAGUAACCAUCUUGUAUCUAUCUAGGUGCACCAGAGCAACAACCUAAGAACACCAUAUCAACCAAUUUGGAUAACAUAACAACGACUUUGCAACACUGUAGCAACUGCUUGGGAUACCAAAGCAACCACACAUCAACAUCAUAGCAAUUAACGACACCAUACCGACCACUGAGCAACACCAUACAAAAUUCUUCGAAUACCGUAUCAGCAAAGUAGUGACUUAAUAGAACUCUUUUA